AUUGAACGCUGGCGGCAGGCCUAACACAUGCAAGUCGGACGGUAGCACAGAGGAGCUUGCUCCUCGGGUGACGAGUGGCGGACGGGUGAGUAAUGUCUGGGGAUCUGCCCGAUAGAGGGGGAUAACCACUGGAAACGAUGGCUAAUACCGCAUAACGUCGCAAGACCAAAGAGGGGGACCUUCGGGCCUCUCACUAUCGGAUGAACCCAGAUGGGAUUAGCUAGUAGGCGGGGUAAUGGCCCACCUAGGCGACGAUCCCUAGCUGGUCUGAGAGGAUGACCAGCCACACUGGAACUGAGACACGGUCCAGACUCCUACGGGAGGCAGCAGUGGGGAAUAUUGCACAAUGGGCGCAAGCCUGAUGCAGCCAUGCCACGUGUAUGAAGAAGGCCUUCGGGUUGUAAAGUACUUUCAGCGGGAGGAAGGCGGUGAGGUUAAUAACCUCACCGAUUGACGUUACCCGCAGAAGAAGCACCGGCUAACUCCGUGCCAGCCGCCGCUGUAA
rnacentral:rRNA from 1 species